GAUGAACGCUGGCGGCGUGCCUAAUACAUGCAAGUCGAGCGAACGGACGAGAAGCUUGCUUCUCUGAUGUUAGCGGCGGACGGGUGAGUAACACGUGGAUAACCUACCUAUAAGACUGGGAUAACUUCGGGAAACCGGAGCUAAUACCGGAUAAUAUUUUGAACCGCAUGGUUCAAAAGUGAAAGACGGUCUUGCUGUCACUUAUAGAUGGAUCCGCGCUGCAUUAGCUAGUUGGUAAGGUAACGGCUUACCAAGGCAACGAUGCAUAGCCGACCUGAGAGGGUGAUCGGCCACACUGGAACUGAGACACGGUCCAGACUCCUACGGGAGGCAGCAGUAGGGAAUCUUCCGCAAUGGGCGAAAGCCUGACGGAGCAACGCCGCGUGAGUGAUGAAGGUCUUCGGAUCGUAAAACUCUGUUAUUAGGGAAGAACAUAUGUGUAAGUAACUGUGCACAUCUUGACGGUACCUAAUCAGAAAGCCACGGCUAACUACGUGCCAGCAGCCGCGGUAAUACGUAGGUGGCAAGCGUUAUCCGGAAUUAUUGGGCGUAAAGCGCGCGUAGGCGGUUUUUUAAGUCUGAUGUGAAAGCCCACGGCUCAACCGUGGAGGGUCAUUGGAAACUGGAAAACUUGAGUGCAGAAGAGGAAAGUGGAAUUCCAUGUGUAGCGGUGAAAUGCGCAGAGAUAUGGAGGAACACCAGUGGCGAAGGCGACUUUCUGGUCUGUAACUGACGCUGAUGUGCGAAAGCGUGGGGAUCAAACAGGAUUAGAUACCCUGGUAGUCCACGCCGUAAACGAUGAGUGCUAAGUGUUAGGGGGUUUCCGCCCCUUAGUGCUGCAGCUAACGCAUUAAGCACUCCGCCUGGGGAGUACGACCGCAAGGUUGAAACUCAAAGGAAUUGACGGGGACCCGCACAAGCGGUGGAGCAUGUGGUUUAAUUCGAAGCAACGCGAAGAACCUUACCAAAUCUUGACAUCCUUUGACAACUCUAGAGAUAGAGCCUUCCCCUUCGUGGGACAAAGUGACAGGUGGUGCAUGGUUGUCGUCAGCUCGUGUCGUGAGAUGUUGGGUUAAGUCCCGCAACGAGCGCAACCCUUAAGCUUAGUUGCCAUCAUUAAGUUGGGCACUCUAAGUUGACUGCCGGUGACAAACCGGAGGAAGGUGGGGAUGACGUCAAAUCAUCAUGCCCCUUAUGAUUUGGGCUACACACGUGCUACAAUGGACAAUACAAAGGGCAGCGAAACCGCGAGGUCAAGCAAAUCCCAUAAAGUUGUUCUCAGUUCGGAUUGUAGUCUGCAACUCGACUACAUGAAGCUGGAAUCGCUAGUAAUCGUAGAUCAGCAUGCUACGGUGAAUACGUUCCCGGGUCU
rnacentral:rRNA from 1 species